rnacentral:lncRNA from 1 species
GAACCUGGCCACUCAGUAUUUGCACUGGAGUUGGUCGUUGCUUCCAAUAUUCGAGGUAACUGAGCAUUAAUAAAAGUCCCCUUUCUUUAUAUUUUCACGGUAUACUCGUGUUACAACACGACACCGUAAUCCUAUAAUAACCGCUUUUAAUAACUGAAUCAGUCAUCCGUCCUCCUAAACUGACUAUUCUAUGAACUAUUAAUCUAUUUUAUCAAUAUCUUAUAAAAACAAAUUAAUAUCUAUUCUACAAUACUCUAAUCCUAACAAAUCCUAAAUCCUAAACCAAAUCCUAACCAAACCCUAAUCCUAAAUCUUAAUCAAACCUUAAUCCAAACCAAACCCUAAUCACAGAUUUGAAAAUUAAAUAACUAAAGAUUGAACCAUCGAUUCUAAUUCAAAAUUUGCACACUUCUUAGAGUUUAAGUUAAAAACCAGUACACAAAUUUUGAAGAAAAUCGCACUUAUUAAUUAGUCGAUGACCUCAAAAUUCCGCUCAAAUGUCGGCUGGUCUCUCCUUCUCUAAUCUUGAUGCCAACUUCCAAUGCUGAUAUCUCCCUUUUUCCACCAUUUGAUUGCUUCCAAAUUUUACUUACAUGUAGAAAAUCAAGUUUUCUAUUGAUAAAACCAAAAAUCUCUCCAAUCCAACUAGCAAAUUGCUAGAUAUCUAAGAAAACCUUACUGGUCCUCAAAACCCUAAAUCUCGAGACCUUAGCCCACAAAAACCUUCAUAUGUAUUGAUCUAGCCAUUUGAUUGACUUCAAAUCUCUUAUACACAUUCACAACAAGCAUACCAAUAAGUCUCUAAAUUUUCACCCAUAAAAAUGCUACAAAAGACACGAAAUCCAAACAUUUGUAAACCGGUUUUAUUUCUCAAAGAUCUGAAUUCACAGAGAACAUCACUCGCUUUAAAAAUCUCUCAAAAAUCCAAUACUGAUCCAAACGACACGAAAUCACCUCUCAAAAAUCCUUCC